UACUAUGGAGGUGCUCUUUGAGUUUUCAUCUAGCUGAAAAGUGAGGGAUAUUGUGGCUAUAACCUUGUGGGAAAAUGUUCCCAUUUCCAAUAUAUUAACCAAUAUUUAAUCUGCACAAAGGAAAAAUUAAUGCCCUUGUAGACCAGACCCAUAGAAGCUAGUUAAUAUCUAGAAAAUGAGAAAUGAUAAAACUACUGUCAGCUGGAAAUUUUGAUUGCUUCCAAAUAGGUGUUUGUUUUUUUUUGCGGUACGCAGGCCUCUCACUGUUGUGGCCUCUCCCGCUGCGGAGCACAGGCUCCGACGCGCAGGCUCAGCGGCCAUGGCUCACGGGCCCAGCCGCUAUGCGGCAUGUGGGAUCUUCCCGGACCGGGGCACAAACCCGUGUCCCCUGCAUCGGCAGGCGGACUCCCAACCACUGCACCACCAGGGGAGCCCUCCAAAUAGAUGCAAGAUGACAAAAAAUAACCAUCCAGAUAUCUUUAAAAUGUGAGAAUAAAAGAUGUUUUCAGACAUAAAGACUCAGCUUACCAACUGCUUAUACUUUCUGGAAAAACUACUCUGUAAAGAAAAAUUAGUUUAGAAAGAAGCAACUGAGAUACUAAACUAAUGAAGAAAAUUUAGUAAAACUUGUCAAAAGCUCUGAGUGUUCAUUUUUUUUUUAAAUAAAUUUAUUUAUUU